CAAACCAUAUUGGGGUGUUUUCAUCCUUGGGACACUGAGCCACUUGACUGCCUGCUUGGUGAAGUCCAUUGUCAACCACUUUUCUAGAAACAGAAUGGCGUUACUUAUUUAUUUUGUGUAUGUGUGAGGGUUGAGGGGCACACACACACAUGGGAUACGGGAGUGGAGGCCAGACAACCACUUGCAGAAAUCAACGCUUUCCUUCCAUCGUGUGGGUCCUUAGGAUGGAAUUUGGGUCACCAGUCCUUCAGGAAGCAUCUUUACCUGCUGAGCUAUCUCCUUCCCUGAAUGUUCUAUCCUGUUUUGCAGGUAUAAAUAAUAAUGUUUGGAAUACACUGAUAAAAUAAAAAUAUAUUAUUAAGAUUA